rnacentral:lncRNA from 1 species
AGAGGGCACUGAAUGCUGCGGCACUCGGGUUAACAGAUGGUAGUGAGCUGUCUGAACUACUUAAAAUUUUCAGGUAAAAGGGCAGCAAGCAUUCUUAAACUGCUGAGCGGCCCUCUAGGUGUUCUUUGCUGGGGCAGGGGAGUUAGCAGGGAGGAAGUGGAGAGAACUGGGAGAGUUGAGACCCUCCUUCUGAGCGUUAAGCUGCAUGUAGAUAAUAUCUGCAGGUGUGGCACAAUUGAAAAGGCAGUGGCUUUCAGGCUAGUCACUGCACGGACUAGUAAGGCAGCUCUCUUGCUCCCAGCACCGUGCAUCUGAUUCUCCGUUCUCAGGGACCACCUGACAUGGUUAAACAGCCCUGGCUUAACGUUCCAGACACUGCUGCCAAUACUUGCGGCUGUUAGUUCCUGAUUUCUGCUUAAGAGAACUUCCAUGAUUGAAUCUUCCUGCUUCUGGAAAUAAAAUGGGUAGUCCCUUGCAUACAAAGCUUGGAGGGUGUCUCUCAUUCUUCUCUUCUUCUGCUUUUUCUCAUCUACCUGAGAAUAAUUUUAAAUGGAUCGAAGGAAUGAAUGUCAGCCACCAAACUGAGAAGUUGACUUGCCUUUAAUCACCUGUAACUUUGUUAGAAUAAUAAAUUCUGUAGAAAGC